ensembl:antisense Gm16573 predicted gene 16573
CUUUCCACGGAGGUCAGGGAGGACGUCCGCAAGCUCCGGUUGAAAGACAAGCAUGCAGGCCUAAAGGGAGAAGGAGGCAGUGGAUCAGAGGUUCUCGCAGCUUACAUGGGAAAAUACUCUCAAUGCCAAAAGCUUCUAGGACCCGUGAGAGGCUCAGCAGGGUGCUACAGUGCCAGGGAUGAAGAAGAUGGCCACAGGACUCUGGAUGCUGAGUUCCGUGAUGUAGGUGAUUUUGAUGAGGACUUUAGCCCGAGGGGACCCUGUUGACUGACCUGAGGACCGGGCCAUGACUGGAGCAUGGGAAAAAGACAUUUUACAGAGGGAUACUGUCUACUCCCAAUGUGUGUGUUCUCUUAUCAGUCUGGCAGUCGAGUGCCUGGUGGCAGUACCAGUUCUUCUGCUUCACACAACAGCGACUUCAUUUCCUCCUUUAGACAACGCACGUGGGUAUGACUGGCUUGACCUCCUGUACUCCUAAGGGGUUUUCAUUUGUGUGUUUGAGACAAAGUCUUGCUAGGAAGCUCUGACAGGCUAGAGCUCACAGUGUAGAACAACAGGUGAGCCUUGAACUUGCAGCAAUUCUCCUGCCUCUACCUCUCAAGGGCUGAGAUUAUGGUAUAUGCCACCACGUGUGACAUUUAAGAGAAAUCUCAUAAGCUCAGAGUACUGUAAAUAAUCUUGGCUUCUAUUAUGGAUUCAUAUUGCAAAUCAUUUCCCAUAAUGCAUGGGCUACAGAAUGAGUGACAAGCUGUACCGGAGUGUCCUGGUCCAUCAAGUAAGCACCAUGGCCUUGGCUGACAGCCUCUC